UCGGAGGAAAAGAAACCAACAGGGAUUGCCCUAGUAACGGCGAGUGAAGCGGCAACAGCUCAAAUUUGAAAUCUGGCUUCGGCCCGAGUUGUAAUUUGUAGAGGAAGCUUUAGGCGCGGCACCUUCUGAGUCCCCUGGAACGGGGCGCCAUAGAGGGUGAGAGCCCCGUAUAGUUGGAUGCCUAGCCUGUGUAAAGCUCCUUCGACGAGUCGAGUAGUUUGGGAAUGCUGCUCAAAAUGGGAGGUAAAUUUCUUCUAAAGCUAAAUAUUGGCCAGAGACCGAUAGCGCACAAGUAGAGUGAUCGAAAGAUGAAAAGCACUUUGAAAAGAGGGUUAAAUAGCACGUGAAAUUGUUGAAAGGGAAGCGCUUGUGACCAGACUUGCGCCGGGCGGAUCAUCCGGUGUUCUCACCGGUGCACUCCGCCCGGCUCAGGCCAGCAUCGGUUCUCGUGGGGGGAUAAAGGCCCUGGGAACGUAGCUCCUCCGGGAGUGUUAUAGCCCAGGGUGUAAUGCCCUCGCGGGGACCGAGGUUCGCGCAUCUGCAAGGAUGCUGCGUAUACGAGAGU
rnacentral:rRNA from 1 species